GUGUUUGCUUCAGCACAUAUAUUAAAAUUAACAAUACAGAGAAGAUUAGCAUGUCCUCUGUACGAGGGUGAUAUCUAUACAAGGAUGAUAUGAAAUCUGU
rnacentral:snRNA from 1 species